UACGUAGGUGGCGAGCGUUAUUCGGAUUUACUGGGCGUAAAGGGUCCGUAGGGGGAUUUUUAAGUUUGGUGUGAAAUUUACAGGCUCAACCUGUAACCUGCACUGAAAACUGGAAAUCUAGAGUACAUGAGAGGUAAGUGGAAUUUGUGGUGUAGCGGUGGAAUGCGUAGAUAUCACAAGGAACACCAAAGGCGAAAGCAGCUUACUGGCAUGAUACUGACCCUGAGGGACGAGAGCUAGGGUAGCGAAAAGG
rnacentral:rRNA from 1 species